rnacentral:rRNA from 1 species
AUUCCAGCUCCAAUAGCGUAUAUUAAAGUUGUUGCGGUUAAAAAGCUCGUAGUUGGAGUUCUGCCAGGUGCCGCCUGUCCGCCCCAGUGGUGAGUACGUGGCGCGCAUUUGGCCCUUUCAAGGGGAGCGUAUUGCACUUAACUGUGUGGUGCGGGAUCCUUGACUUUUACUUUGAGGAAAUAAGAGUGUUCCAAGCAGGCUCUCGUCGUGCAUAGCUCAGCAUGGAAUAAUAGCAUUGGAUCUCGAUUCCAAACUGUUGGUUGUAGGAAACGAGAUAAUGAUGAAGAGGGAUAGUUGGGGGCAUUCGUAUUUAACUGUCAGAGGUGAAAUUCUUGGAUUUGUUAAAGACGAACUACUGCGAAAGCAUCUGCCAUGGAUGUUUUCAUCG